UCAGGACGAACGCUGGCGGCGUGCCUAAUACAUGCAAGUCGAACGGUCUUUCUAUGGAAGCUUGCUUCCACUGAGAAGAUAGUGGCGAACGGGUGAGUAACACGUGGGUAACCUGCCCAUAAGAGGGGGAUAACAUCCGGAAACGGGUGCUAAUACCGCAUAGUUUUCUUGAUCGCAUGAUCGGGAAAGGAAAGACGGCCUUUGUGCUGUCGCUUAUGGAUGGACCCGCGGCGUAUUAGUUAGUUGGUGAGGUAACGGCUCACCAAGACGAUGAUACGUAGCCGACCUGAGAGGGUGAUCGGCCACAUUGGGACUGAGACACGGCCCAAACUCCUACGGGAGGCAGCAGUAGGGAAUCUUCCGCAAUGGACGAAAGUCUGACGGAGCAACGCCGCGUGAGUGAAAGAAGGUUUUCGGAUCGUAAAACUCUGUUGUCAGAGAAGAACAAGUUGGAGAGUAACUGCUCCAGCCUUGACGGUAUCUGACCAGAAAGCCACGGCUAACUACGUGCCAGCCGCCGC
rnacentral:rRNA from 1 species